rnacentral:rRNA from 1 species
AUUGAACGCUGGCGGCAGGCCUAACACAUGCAAGUCGAGCGGAUGACGGGAGCUUGCUCCUUGAUUCAGCGGCGGACGGGUGAGUAAUGCCUAGGAAUCUGCCUGGUAGUGGGGGACAACGUUUCGAAAGGAACGCUAAUACCGCAUACGUCCUACGGGAGAAAGCAGGGGACCUUCGGGCAUUGCGCUAUCAGAUGAGCCUAGGUAGGAUUAGCUAGUAGGUGAGGUAAUGGCUCACCUAGGCGACGAUCCGUAACUGGUCUGAGAGGAUGAUCAGUCACACUGGAGCUGAGACACGGUCCAGACUCCUACGGGAGGCAGCAAUGGGGAAUAUUGGACAAUGGGCGAAAGCCUGGUCCAGCCAUGCCGCGUGUGUGAAGAAGGUCUUCGGAUUGUAAAGCACUUUAAGUUGGGAGGAAGGGCAGUAAGCUAAUACCUUGCUGUUUUGACGUUACCGACAGAAUAAGCACCGGCUAACUCUGUGCCAGCAGCCGCAGUAAGAC